GACGAACGCUGGCGGCGUGCCUAACACAUGCAAGUCAACUUGACUGAAGGAGCAAUCUGACAGUAGAGUGGCGCAAGGGUGCGUAACGCGUAAGUAACUUGCCCAAGGUAAGGAAUAACGUCGAGAAAUCGGCGCUAAUACCUCAUAAUGCAGCGGAUCCGCAUGGAUAUGUUGUUAAAGGUUUACCGCCUUGGGAUAGGCUUGCGUCUGAUUAGCUAGUUGGUGUGGUAACGGCACACCAAGGCUACGAUCAGUAACUGGUCUGAGAGGAUGAUCAGUCACACUGGAACUGAGACACGGUCCAGACUCCUACGGGAGGCAGCAGUGAGGAAUAUUGGGCAAUGCUCGAAAGAGUGACCCAGCAACGCCGCGUGGAGGAUGAAGGUAUUCUAUAUCGUAAACUCCUGUGAGAGCAGACGAAAGACAGAUAUAAUCUGGAUGACUGUAUGCUCAGAGG
rnacentral:rRNA from 1 species